CCCAGGCAGGCUCUGCACUGGCAGUAUGGAGUCCAAUGUGGGGCUUGAACCCAUGAACUGUGAGAUCAUGACCUGAGCCAAAACCAGGAGUUGGACGCUUAACCAACUGAACCGCCCAGGUGUCCCUUUGUGUAUCUCUUCAUGGGCCUCAAAGUUAAUUGGUCUGUGAUGGAGCUUAGCAAUCAAGAAAUUUUAAAAGCUCCCAGGUGAUGCAGCUAGGGUGGCAAAACUAUCGAUUCAGACCCUAAAGCAGAGGCUCUCAAAUUUGAACGUGCAUCAGAACCCCCUGCAGAGCUCAUCAAAAUAGGAAUUGCUGGGCCUCACCCCCACGCUUUCCAAUUCAGAAGGUUUGAGUUAGGCCCUAAGAUUUUGCAGUUUUUACAAGUUCCUGGGUGACGCUGAUGUGCUGGUCUGGGGACCACUCUUUGGUAACUACUGAGCAGGAAGAAAACAGUCAUGAGGUAAUGCUGGAAGGGGAUUCCUACCAUAUGUAAUGGGGAAGUAGAACCACCAUCUGGGCUGGGAGGGGGAGGGGAGAGAGAGGAAGUGAGGUAAGAGAUUAGGUUUAAGAGUCCUCAUUCUUACUUCCUGGAGGAAGUAGCUAACGCCAGUGAGCUGUAGGAGCCUCCACCAAGGUUCUGGGGACUCAGAGAGUUGGUAUUCAGUUUACCAUAACACAGCCUGGAGGGAUUGCAUGUCUCGUGGAGAAACCCACGUUGGCACCCAGUGCAUCAGUAUGGCAUGGCAGUGGUAGAUUAACCAAGACUGAGGGAAGAUCUGGGGUGAGGGUGGCCUCAGGGGCAGCCUCCCAGAGUCCAGACUGCUGCAGAAAAGUCCCCUGGCAUUUACAACAAUCCACCCACCCCUACCCCCAUCCCGGGGACCAUUAGAAGUCUGGGGCUGGGAAGAAACACAAGCAAUCACAGGGACACAGGCAGGACCCACAGCCACUGGGAAUGGGUUCCAGCGUGAGAUCCAGGAGCCAGUACAGUCCAGACCAGCAUAGACCUGCCACUUCUCAGCGAAAAGCAGCAAGAACAGAAGGCCACAUGCAGAGCAGGGCCAGGACUAGGGUCAGGCAAAGGAGGCACCUGGGACACAAAAUUUAAGGGUAGUACAAAUACAGGGUCAGCCCUCACCCUAGCCCCCAUCCCUGUGCAAAGACAAGAGGGAUGAGACCCCCCCUAAACGGAGGUCCCACAGACUCAAUGAUCUCCCUACAAUGCUGUUGGGAUUCUGACAUGUUCUCUGCAUCUGUCAUGGAAAAGGCUCAGAGCUGGGGACACCCCUGGAGCUGGUGGAAAGUGUUCUAUUCACUCCGUCUCCUGGAAGAAGGCUGUUUUCAAUCAGAAGAGACUGGGUUAUCAUUAACAGAGCCCUGAAAAUGAUGCACAUCCAGUCCUGUAUAAGCAGAAGAGUGAGGAGCGGAGGGGGCUUGGCAGACCCUGAGUGCCCACCCCCGUGGGCCAGCCAGCGACCAUCACCUUGGGAUCCCGUGCUUUCCCAGAAUCAUUCAACACUUGUAAUUCCUCUUGAAUGAAGAGAGAGGACACGGAUGUGUAUGGCGCUGUCUUUAAGAAGGAAAAAUCGGGGCGCCUGGGUGACUCAGUCAUUAAGCAUCUGACUUCGGCUCGGGGCACGAUCUCACAGUUUGUGAGUUCGAGUCCCACAUCGGAUGAGCUCAAGCCCCACUUCAGUUUCGAUGGGCCAGGAGUCUGGGCAUGACUGAGCUGGGUCCUCUGCUUCAGGGUCUCCCACAAGUCUGUAGUCAAGAGGUGAGCUGGGCUGGGGUCUCACCUGAAGGUUCAACCAGGGAAGUAUCCAUUUUAUUUUAUUUUUUAUGUUUAUUUGUUUUGAGAGAGAGUGAGUACGUGUGAGCAGGGGAGGGGCAGAGGGAGAGGGGGAGAGAGAAUCCCAAGUAGGCUCUGUGCUGUCAGUGAAGAGCCCUGUGUAGGGCUUGAACUCACAAACUGUGAGAUCAUGACCUGAGCCGAAAUCAAGAGUCGGGCAGUUAACCAAUGGAGCCACCCAUGUACCCCUGUUGUCAGAAUUUUAGCUCCUCUAGGACUAUUGGACUGGAGUGGGGCGGGGGAGGGGGUGUCUCAGUUUCUAGCUGGGUAUCCUUAUCUCCUGGCCAUGUGGGUCUCUCCAACAUGGAAGCUUGCGUCAUGCAGAAAGAGCCAGCUACCAAGACAGAAAUUACUGCCUUAUGUAACCUAAUCACAGAAGUGACAUCUCAUCACCUGUGAUAAGUUCUGCCCAUAUUGAAUGGGAGGAUUUUAUGCAAGGAUGUCAAUACCAGGGGCAGAAUCAUUAUGGGCCAUCUCGUAGGCUGCCUGCAUAGAGGUGAACGAGUGAGCAAGCCAAGGGGGAGCUCAGAGGGAGGAGUGUUAACAGGAGGAAGAAACAAGUGCAAAGGCCCUGGGGCAGGAACUUGUCUGGGGUGUUCAAGAAACAGUGAGGAGGUCAUUGUGUCUGGAGUGGAAUGUGCAAGGGGUAGGGAAGCAGAGGUGAGGACAGCGGGGGAGCUAAUGAGGGGCCAGGUUAUGUGGGACCUUUUUAACUUUUACCUUAGAUGAGAGUUGCUGGAGGGUUUCAGGUGGAGGAAUGACAUGAGCUGGCAUUUGUUCUGGAUCCUCGAUCCUCCAAGUGUGGUCUGUGGCCCACUCUUAAAGGCUGUUAGAAAUGUGGAAUCUUAGGAUCUACUGCCCCAGACCUGAUGAGUCAGAGACUGCAUUUAACAAGAUCCCCAGGUGAUGGGGCACCUAGGUGGCUCAGUCGGUUGAGCAUCCAACUUUGGCUCAGGUCAUGAUCUUGGGUUCUUGAGUUCCUGAGCUUGAACCCCAUGUGGGGAUCUCUGAUGCCAGUGCAGAGCCCGCUUUGGAUUCUCUGACCCCCUCUCUCUGCCCCUCCCCAACUUGCGCUCUCUCAAAAAUAAAAACUAAAACAUUAAAAAACAAAACAAGAACAUAAGAUCGCCAGGUGAGUGGAAUGCACAGUGAAGUUGGAAACUUAGUGGUUCUCACCCUUCAGCCAGCAUCAGAAUUACCUGGAUGGAGUGUUUGUUGAAACACAGCUUGCUGGUUCCCCUCCCCCAACCUGCAGAGUUUCUGAUUCACUAGGUGCAGGGUGGGGACUGAGAGUCUGCAUUUCUAGCAAGGUCCCAGAGCUGCUGAUGUUGCUGGACCAGGGACCAUGCUUUGAGAACCACUGGUCUACAGUGCGCCUGGCACCAGGGCGCAGGGCUGAGGAAGGACAGAAUCUUUCCUUUGAAGCUGUCCAGAGCAUCAGACCCUGCUGCUGGCCUCUGGGGGAAGAUGACACAUCAGACUCAAAGCUCUUUCCUUGUCAUAUGUCCUACGAAGGUGGAUUUUAUAUGCUGCCCCUUAAAACCACAUCUGUGCCAUCACACUCGUGUGUCCCCUGGCUCUCUGUUCUGUUUGUGCAGUUAAAUCCCAUCUCUGUUUCUCCUGUAUGUGGUGCAGAGAGGGAACAGGUGGUCACCAGUGCCCUGCUAAUAGCUCUUCAGAUGUUUGCAGCCCAUUAUUAAAUCGCCCUCAGAGUUUCCUUCUUGAAGACUAAAUAAUUAGCUACCCUUUUCUGAAUCAUGGGGUGGAGAGGUGAAUGUAGUCACCAGCCUCAGACGGGGGCAUAUGUGGUAGAAAAUCUUGAACCAGUGUGGGGGCUGGAGGUAAGACGGGGUGAGCGUUGCAAAAGCUAGGCCAUCAGACUCCUUCAUUUCGGCAAGAUCCUUGGAAGUGAUGCCAGCAGGCAGCAUACAAGAUGACAGGUCUAGUGCCAUGCAGAGAUCAGCUGGAGGUGAAGUGUCACCGGUGAGCCAGACAUCUUCAGAGGUUAUGGGCACCGUCAGGUGCACCCCUGCCCCGGUGCAGCCCCCCACCCUGACUCAUUCCAGCCAACGGAUUGGC